GAUGAACGCUAGCGGCAGGCUUAAUACAUGCAAGUCGAGGGGCAGCACGUUUCGCAGCAAUGCGGGAUGGUGGCGACCGGCAAACGGGUGAGGAUCGCGUACACACUCUUCCCAGAGCAGGGGGAUAACCCGGGGAAACCCGUACUAAUACCCCGUAGCUUACUUUGAAGGCAUCUUUGAGGUAAUAAAACUCCGGUGGCUUUGGAUGAGUGUGCGUCCCAUUAGGUAGUUGGCAGGGUAACGGCCUACCAAGCCUUCGAUGGGUAACUGGUGUGAGGGCAGGACCAGUCACAGGGGCACUGGGAAACGGGCCAGAGUCAUACGGGAGGGAGCAGUAAGGGAUAUUGGUGAGUGGACGCAAGUCUGAACCAGCCAUGCCGGGUGAAGGAAGAAGGUCCUCGGGAUUGUAAACUUCUGUUAGAGGGGGCGAAAAAAGGGUUUUUUAACUCACUUGACGGUACCUUAUGAAUAAGCACCGGCUAACUCCGUG
rnacentral:rRNA from 1 species